rnacentral:rRNA from 1 species
AGAGUUUGAUCCUGGCUCAGAACGAACGCUGGCGGCGCGUUUUAAGCAUGCAAGUCGAACGGUAGGCGGGGGCAACUCCGCCGAGAGUGGCGCACGGGUGAGUAACACGUAGGUGAUCUACCCUGGGUUUGGGGAUAGCCCAUGGAAACAUGGGGUAAUACCGAGUACGCUCUUUUGGCUGUGGCCGAAAGAGGAAAGGCGCGGGUGCGCCGACCUGGGAUGAGCCUGCGGCCUAUUAGCUAGUUGGCGGGGUAAAGGCCCACCAAGGCUACGACGGGUAGCCGGCCUGAGAGGGUGAACGGCCACACUGGGACUGAGAUACGGCCCAGACUCCUACGGGAGGCAGCAGCUAAGAAUCUUCCGCAAUGGGGGAAACCCUGACGGAGCGACGCCGCGUGGAUGAUGAAGGCCGAAAGGUUGUAAAAUCCUUUUCUCUGUGAAGAAUAAGUGGGGAAGGAAAUAGCCUCAUGAUGACGUUAGCAGAGAAAUAAGCCCCGGCUAACUACGUGCCAGCAGCCGCGGUAACACGUAGGGGGCGAGCGUUGUUCGGAAUUAUUGGGCGUAAAGGGCGCGCAGGCGGCCCGGUAAGUCUGGUGUUUAAGACCGCAGCUUAACUGUGGUAGUGCGCUGGAAACUGUCGGGCUUGAGUGCAGGAGGGGGAGCUGGAAUUCCAGGUGUAGGGGUGAAAUCUGUAGAUAUUAGGAGGAACACCGGUGGCGAAGGCGGCUACCUGGACCGAUAUUGACGCUGAGACGCGAAAGCGUGGGUAGCAAACAGGAUUAGAUACCCUGGUAGUCC